AGUAUAAUAGUGGUUUCAUGAAAAGAUAUUAAAUUCAUCAAACAAAAAGUGGAAGGACCCUGAACAAAAGUAAAUAAAUUAAUAAAUGCUUUCGAUGUUUAUUAUAUUUGUUACCAUUGCUUGGCGAAUAAUAAUGCAUUGGUAGUGCCUUUGCCAGAAUACGAUACAACAACACCAUAGCUCCACAAUUUCCAAAUUACAAAGUUCAAUACUGAACCGAAGAUUUUGUAUGGGGGCUUUAAAGAAUACCACCGAGAUGCUGGUAACGGUGCUUUUCACACAGACGACACACACCCAAUAAAUGCAUUAAAUGAAACAUGGAAAAAAAUGCAUUAUCCGCUGGGAACUGGUACAAUUAUGUUAAUUGUUCGUUUAAUGGUCAUGUAUAAUAUAAACAAUGCAACAACAAAGAAAAGUUUCUCCAGUCACUUCAAUCCUUUCUAUCGCUAAUAGUGGAUAUAGAACAGAAAAUAUAUCACAAAAUGUUUUUGAACAACAUUUGUUGUAGCAUUUUGUGCAGCAUUUGCGGACGAGCAAUUUACUGUUCCUUUCAUCGUUAUUUCGAAUGUUUCAAAACUUGGAUUUCAUAUGGCCGAAAGUCAUUCUUAAUAGACUAAGAACGCCCCGGGCGGCCUUAUAAAGAUUGUUACAAACAUAAGAAAUCUUCACUGAAUCUUUGGGAGUCACUCGGGGCAGCCAUAUCAACACGUUUAAAUGCUGUUUGAACGCAAUAGAAAUAUGUAACUCAGUUUUGCGUGUUUGUGACUGGUGAUGCAGAAUGGAUUCAUUACAACAACCAUAAACGCAAAAAUCUUAGGUGAAACUUGACCAAUAAGCCAAGGCCGAAUUUC
rnacentral:lncRNA from 1 species